CCUACGGGAGGCAGCAGUGGGGAAUAUUGCACAAUGGGGGAAACCCUGAUGCAGCAACGCCGCGUGAAGGAAGACGGUUUUCGGAUUGUAAACUUCUGUUCUUAGUGAAGAAUAAUGACGGUAGCUAAGGAGCAAGCCACGGCUAACUACGUGCCAGCAGCCGCGGUAAUACGUAGGUGGCAAGCGUUGUCCGGAAUUACUGGGUGUAAAGGGAGCGCAGGCGGGAAGCCAAGUCAGCUGUGAAAACGACGGGCUUAACUUGUAGACUGCAGUUGAAACUGGUUUUCUUUAGUGAAGUAGAGGUUGGCGGAAUUCCGAGUGUAGCGGUGAAAUGCGUAGAUAUUCGGAGGAACACCGGUGGCGAAGGCGGCCAACUGGGCUUUAACUGACGCUGAGGCUCGAAAGUGUGGGGAGCAAACAGGAUUAGAUACCCUUGUAGUC
rnacentral:rRNA from 1 species